CCCUAUCCACAUGCACCCAACGCUGUCUCCUCCCACCUCCUUUCGCCCCUGGCAACUGGGGCUUCCGGAUCCACAUGCCACAAGGGCUCCCCGAACCACCAGUCGGAUCCCCGCGGCGACAGGGCUCCCCGAACCACCAGUCCGAUACCCACAGCGCCAGGGCACCCCGAGCCAGAUGCCGGAUCCCCACGCCGCUGGCAAGUGGGAGGCUACCGCGAGAUCCAGCCGGGGCGGCCAUGGAGGGAUCCAGUGGGCGGAGGAGGUUCGCCGCGCGCCCUGACUUCAAGCAGUCCUACCUCCGCGGGCCUCCCUUGCUCCUCCCCCGCAGCCGGAUCCAUCUCCCCCGCGACCUGCCGAGGCCCCUCCGCGGCGGCCGGCCACCGGAGUAGACAACGGCGACCGCGGCCACGGGAGGUCUGUGUGGGUGUCUCCACUAGAGGUCGCAGUUCCACUGCCCCUCGCCAACCCUCCAACCCCAGUUGAUCUACAGGGAACCAGCGACCCCCAUCCUGCCGAGAUCCCUCUGCAGCCCUGCUCCUCCUCUGCCCUACCCAGAUUUCACCCGUGACCGCAGUCCAUCGCAGGGGCACCUGCAGCUCUCUCUCCCACUCGAGGAGGUACAUCGCCAGGAAAGGCUUGGAGGUGAGCUCGUGGUCUACCCAGCGCGAGGGCUGGCAUCCUCUCAAGCAAUGGUGCAGUGAUGGGGAUGACGAACAGGUGGUGGUGCACGGUGAGCUCGAGGUUGCCCACAGCCUCCCUCAUGCGUGUGUGAUGCUGUGUGGCAACAAGGCCGCAUGAGGUUCCAGCUCUUCAGCGACCCCCCUUCAUCAUAUUCCAGUGAGGUACCAGCCCGCUGACUUCAUGUAGUACGGACGGCGUUGCGGCGCAGUUCGCCAUGCGAAUCUCGUCCAGUGCAGUUUAGAUGCUUACCGAGGAUUUGCAGCUCGCCCGCAAGUGGCUCGUGGUCCAUGCAGCUCGGGCGUGCAGCCCACUAUUGGUUCCUCCACCGUUGCAAGUCCUCAACCUGUUGCACUGUCAUCCACGAUGCAGUCCACAUAGCCAGAGUAUGCCGCAGCCCACAUCUCCAGCGGGUGCAGCUCGUGGCCCGCCAAUGUGCAGUUUCGGCAAUCGGUGUUUGUAGUAUUGGCACAUGUACUUCCGGCGGAUCCCUACGGGAUCCUCACCGCCAGCCACGCCACCUCCCGCGGGAUCCUCCUGCUAUGUUGUAUUGUAUGAAUCCCUCACCCCCUUGACCUCUUCCUGGCUGCUGCUGCACCAAGAUCCUGUGCAUGCAGGUGUUGUGGUUGUGCAGCUCGGAGAUGCUCGCCAUGCGGUUCAAGGCUCGUGCUUGCGCAGUCCGGCAAGCGCAUCUCUUCCUAUCUGGUCGGUCGACCAUGGCCAUGCAGCUCGGAGACGCUCGCCAUGCGGUUCGGAGCUCGUGUGUGUGCAGUCCGGCAAGUGCCAUCUCUUCCCUGCAAUCCAUCGACCAUGCCAUGCAACUCAGAGACGCUUGACAUGCGGUUCAGAGCUCCUGUGCGUGCAAUCUAGCGAGUGUCCGUGCAUGCAGUUCGGUGAGCAUCCGUGUAUGUGUGUUCUGCUGGCCCUCAAAAGCAGUUCUGAUGGUAUAUGUGUGUGGCUAUAAAACAAUGAAUGGGUGUAUGUGUGUCUAUGAGCAUCAUCGGCAUCCAUAGACAAAGGCGCAAAACAAAAUGUGUGUUGGUUAGCUCUGUCGUGGCUUUUGUUUUCUGUUGUUCAUUUGUUUGUUAAAAAAAUUCAAAGAAUGUUGGUGUGAGAUAACAUUCUUUUGAUGCAAAAUUGUAA